UUCAUGCGUGAGUUCCAAAUAUCUCUAACGGUCGCCCCAGCGUGAGUUUUUUUAUGCACGUGAUGUUAGAAUGUUCUCUCCAUUCCAGAAUGUGAUUGAUACGUAACAGUACAUUUUAUCCGCGCUGCCCUCAAACUAAAGCACGCAGCCUGUUUAUAUUUAUAAGUUGUUUUAACUUCAAUUUAAAAUGAUUUUCAAACAAGUUUUUAUUUUCUAAAAACAGUUUGAAUUUAGGUGUGUUCCGCCUCCUCAUUCAUUCACAUAAAAAUAGUCAUUUUUACUUUUGCGGAUAAUUACAUUUUUGGGACAUUUCUGACACGGACAAAAUUCCCCAAGCACUUCCCAAUUGUUUGUGCAGUUCACGUCUGCAGACAUUUGCUCAUCUCCCGUCAGAACAGGAUCUGCACACGUGUUCACAUUUUCUAUUCCACAUUUCUAUUGUAGUGUACUGUAUGUAUAGAGCAUAAUAUAUUUGUGUAUAUUCUUUAUCACCGCGGAAACGUGAGGUAACGUUACUCAUUUUAUAACCUUUAUGAUGUUAUAGUCAAUCGUGCUUAUGUAGCCACAUUCUUCUAUUAGCUCUGUAAAACAAUGCUAAAUGCGUCAGAGAAGUAUUAUCUUGUGUUGCAUUUUGAAGCUACCAUGGCCUUAUGACUCUCAAGUGGUGCAGCGGUCAAAGGCACAGCACAUCAGUACUAGAGGUGUCACUACAGACUCCCUGGUUCAAAUCCAGGCUGCGUUUCCAUCAAAAAACCAGAAACAUUAUUUGCCAAUAUCAUAACUGGAGCUGGACAUCUUUGGAGCUGAAGAAUGAGGACAGCUUUUGUAUGCUAACGUACACUCCUUAACAGUUGUACUGGAUGAAAACACAGCAAGAAAACGCAUGCCAAUAUGCAUAGUAUCAUGGCUGGUCACCUGUCAAGUCACAUGUCAGGCAGACUUUGCAAUGCCUCCGUGUGCGACUACCUUGAGAAGCAGUUUGAGGGACUUUGCAGGGAAAAUGUCGUGCAGUGAGGCGUAGGGGAUUGUCUACAGCAGGACGACCCCCAGUGGAUGGGCGCCGAGGGGUGUGGUGCUCCUCCAGCAGCUCUCUCAUGAGGUUCUCUCUGUAUUUUUGGUGGUCCACCUUCCCUGUGGCCGACAUGGUUGCUGUAUGGACAGUGGAGAGGACAUGGACGUCUCGCUUGUCAUGCCACUUUACUGCC